AGAUUGAACGCUGGCGGCAGGCCUAACACAUGCAAGUCGAGCGGUAGAGAGGUGCUUGCAUCUCUUGAGAGCGGCGGACGGGUGAGUAAUGCCUAGGAAUCUGCCUAGUGGUGGGGGAUAACGUUCGGAAACGGACGCUAAUACCGCAUACGUCCUACGGGAGAAAGCGGGGGACCUUCGGGCCUCGCGCCAUUAGAUGAGCCUAGGUCGGAUUAGCUAGUUGGUGAGGUAAUGGCUCACCAAGGCGACGAUCCGUAACUGGUCUGAGAGGAUGAUCAGUCACACUGGAACUGAGACACGGUCCAGACUCCUACGGGAGCAGCAGUGGGGAAUAUUGGACAAGUGGGCGAAAGCCUGAUCCAGCCAUGCCGCGUGUGUG
rnacentral:rRNA from 1 species